rnacentral:rRNA from 1 species
GCUGGCGGCACGCCUAACACAUGCAAGUCGAACGAAGUAGCAAUACUUAGUGGCAGACGGGUGAGUAACAUGUAGGUAUCUACCCUUUGGCCUGGAAUAACACGAGGAAACUUGUGCUAAUACCGGAUAAGUCUUUACGGAGAAAGCUUUAUGCACCAUUGGAUGAGCCUGCACUUGAUUAGUUUGUUGGUGGGGUAAUGGCCUACCAAGACUGUGAUCAAUAGCUGAUUUGAGAGGAUGAUCAGCCACAUUGGGACUGAGACACGGCCCAAACUCCUACGGGAGGCAGCAGUGGGGAAUCUUGCACAAUGGAGGAAACUCUGAUGCAGCGAUGCCGCGUGAGUGAAGAAGGCCUUUGGGUUGUAAAGCUCUUUCGUCGGGGAAGAAAAUGACUGUACCCGAAUAAGAAGGUCCGGCUAACUUCGUGCCAGCAGCCGCGGUAAUACGAAGGGACCUAGCGUAGUUCGGAAUUACUGGGCUUAAAGAGUUCGUAGGUGGUUGAAAAAGUUGGUGGUGAAAUCCCAGAGCUUAACUCUGGAACUGCCAUCAAAACUUUUCAGCUAGAGUAUGAUAGAGGAAAGCAGAAUUUCUAGUGUAGAGGUGAAAUUCGUAGAUAUUAGAAAGAAUACCAAUUGCGAAGGCAGCUUUCUGGAUCAUUACUGACACUGAGGAACGAAAGCAUGGGUAGCGAAGAGGAUUAGAUACCCUCGUAGUCCAUGCCGUAAACGAUGUGUGUUAGACGUUGGAAAUUUAUUUUCAGUGUCGCAGCGAAAGCAAUAAACACACCGCCUGGGGAGUACG